rnacentral:misc_RNA from 1 species
AGUGGUCGCCAUCACGCCGAGCGUCAAUACCGGGCGCAAACUGUCGCUGGUGUGGGGCGUGCAUUGCGUGAUCGCGGAAGACGCGCACGAUCAGGACGACAUGAUCGACCGCGCGGGAAGCAUCGCGUUCCGUGACGGGUUUGCGAAAGCAGGCCAGCGCGUGAUCAUCGUUGCGGGCGUACCGCUCGGCACGCCGGGCACGACCAACAUGGUGCGUAUCGCUUAUGUCGGCCCCGACCGCGAAGCCGACAUCUGACGCCAACUCGGCUCU